rnacentral:lncRNA from 1 species
GAAUUGAAUUAUCUAAUAGUUAGACCAAAUUCAGCAUAACGAGUGAGUGGUGCAGAGGAAAGCAGGCAGGACGGCCAGGGAAAAGUUAGCCCUGAAAUGCGCACAUGCCCAAAGAGCUUUGUCUCUUAAGUAGGACACUGAAAUCCAGAGUGGACCAGGUCUGGACCAGGGUACCAUGGAGAUGCCACUUGGCUAGGGUGUCAGAUGUACAGCUGUUCUGAUAGACCAAGCAGUGUAGACGUAUAGGAUUUUUAUCAGUUCCCUUAGUUCCUAGGUUGCUGCAUCUGUGUUGUUACUGUUUUUUGUUGGUUUUGUUUUGGAUUUUGUGUUUGGGUGUCGUUGUUGUUGUUGUUGUUGUUGUUGUUGCUGUUGUUGUUGUUGUUUUCUUUUGGUUUUGGUUUGGUUUAGUUCUGGCCAUCCUGAGUGCUGAGAUUAAAAGUGUACACCAGGGUUGGGGAUUUAGCUCAGUGGUAGAGCGCUUGCCUAGGAAGCGCAAGGCCCUGGGUUCGGUCCCCAGCUCCGAAAAAGAAAAAAAAA